rnacentral:lncRNA from 1 species
AUUUAAUACUGUCUGAUUGGGUGUAGGAAAAUGCCUGCCUAAAACAACUAUUUUCCAUUUGGCAUAAGGUUGGGCUGUUCACUCCGACAAUUAUUUGCCAUUGGAUUAACUCUCUAGUAAAACAGAUCAUGUCUCCUGAGUGUAAAGCAAACGCCAUGAUAAUAGCACUGGUUUCCUGUUUACUGUGGCAGAAAGGCGUGGGCCAAAUGCAUCUAGAAAGUCAUCAAUUGUUUGCAAGUUAAAGGGAAGAAAGUUGCAAAAAGAGAGAGAGCUAGGGAAGUGGGAGGCUGAGGACCCAGCCACACAGCCAGGGCUUUUUGAAUCUGGGUGAUGGUGUACCUGGACUCCCCUUGCUCUAUUCUCUCUGCUUUUAUGUGUUUGAAAACACCCAUAUUUUUUCUUUAAAAAAAAAAAAAAAAUUAAGCCUAAGAGCAUUGCAACUGAUACUGCAAGAUCCUGGCUAUGAAAAGUGAUUUGAACAGGAUGGUAAAGCAGGACCCAGGGGUUACCAACUAUUUGCUGCCGCCAUGUGACUCAUCAGCUCCAGGAGGCUCCCAGCAGCUUUCUUGAGCUUACACACUGGCCUUGUCUCAGUCCUGGCUGAAGGCACCCGAGGACCCAGUGGACUUUGAAUGCUUCUAGAAGCAUCUCAAACAAUGAGCUGUUUGUUCUCAUCUGUGGCUAGGCCUUGGAGAGCUGGUCUCAACUCCCCUCAAUGCUUGCAACAAGCAACUCCGACUCUCCAUGGAGGCCUGCCGAAGCUUCAGAAUCCAGAGGAGUGGCCCACAGAGAAGGAGUGUGGAGCAGCAGAGCCGGAAACAACAGAGGCUUCAAGGGCUGGAGGUAAAUGGUUGCAACCUGGGGGCUUUGGCAGCACUUGUUGGUAAACUGUUGUGACCUGGGAGUGAGAAGCUCCGUAGAAGUGGGUGAACUCUGGGCAGCCUCCUCUUGCAGAGCCUGAAGCAGAGCCCGGAGUCUGGGUUCUCUGAUACAAUCUCAGGCCUACGGAUUAGCCCAAGGAGGGAGUGUGGCAGGCAGCUACGAGGGCAGGCAACUAAGAGGGAAGUUCUGAUCUGACCCCUCUGAACUCAGCAACCCUUGCUCCCGAGCAGCAGCCAGCUUCGCUCAUCCUCCCUUUGAAGAAAGCAGAAAAAGAAAGUGCUUUGAUUUUCCUAAAACAAACACUAUGUUGAGUAAAGAGAUAAGCCCAGCCUUGGGUUGGCUCAGGCUCCCCUGUGCAAGGGAAGUCACACUUCAUAUUUCCAACAUGAAAGCCCAAGAAGGGCUGGGCUUAGUGCUGGCUGAAAGCUGGAGAGGCCACCAGCCCCACUUUGCUUCUGCAGAGAGGCCUAUUAGGCCAAGGGGAAGUCUGCUGUGAUCCAGCAAUGGUGGUAACUAAGGGCACAUUUCUCUGGCCGCUGGGCCUGAAGAUCCAGAGCCAACAAGAUCCAUCAAGGAAAGAGCCAGCUCUGUCCAACAGGGACCUUGGUGGCUAGUGGUCAAGGAGGGACCACCUCCCAACCCUGGGGGGUUGGAAAAGGGACCUUGUUGGGAGAGGGACAUUUUCCAUGGAGAAUUUGCCUGAGUGACACAAGAUGGGAGAGACGGGGAGCAACAUUUGUGGCCCCAGGGCAACAGGAGGACUCCCCGUCCUUCCAUACCAAAGUGCUCCCAACUGCUCUCUGCAUUCACAGUUCCAUGCGUUCUUGGGGUGAUAGUAAGAACAGCCAGGCACUCAGUGUUCUAAGUGCUUUUCACAUGUUAUCUCACUUAGCCUCACUUAAUUUGUUCACUCAGCAAACCUAGCAGGCAGGUACUAUCAUCAUCUCCAUUUACAGAUAAGGACACCAAAGCACAGGGAGCAGCAACAAUUGCCAAGGUCACACC